rnacentral:rRNA from 1 species
AGCGAACGCUGGCGGCAGGCUUAACACAUGCAAGUCGAACGGGCUUCUUCGGAAGUCAGUGGCAGACGGGUGAGUAACACGUGGGAACGUGCCCUUCGGUUCGGAAUAACUCAGGGAAACUUGAGCUAAUACCGGAUACGCCCUUUUGGGGAAAGGUUUACUGCCGAAGGAUCGGCCCGCGUCUGAUUAGCUUGUUGGUGAGGUAACGGCCUACCAAGGCGACGAUCAGUAGCUGGUCUGAGAGGAUGAUCAGCCACACUGGGACUGAGACACGGCCCAGACUCCUACGGGAGGCAGCAGUGGGGAAUAUUGGACAAUGGGCGCAAGCCUGAUCCAGCCAUGCCGCGUGAGUGAUGAAGGCCUUAGGGUUGUAAAGCUCUUUUGUCCGGGACGAUAAUGACGGUACCGGAAGAAUAAGCCCCGGCUAACUUCGUG